AACGCGAAGAACCUUACCAGGUCUUGACAUCCCGUUGACCACUGUAGAGAUAUGGUUUCCCCUUCGGGGGCAACGGUGACAGGUGCUGCAUGGCUGUCGUCAGCUCGUGUUGUGAAAUGUUGGGUUAAGUCCCGCAACGAGCGCAACCCUUAUCCUUUGUUGCCAGCGGUCCGGCCGGGAACUCAAAGGAGACUGCCAGUGAUAAACUGGAGGAAGGUGGGGAUGACGUCAAGUCAUCAUGGCCCUUACGACCAGGGCUACACACGUGCUACAAUGGCAUAUACAAAGAGAAGCGACCUCGCGAGAGCAAGCGGACCUCAUAAAGUAUGUCGUAGUCCGAAUUGGAGUCUGCAACUCGACUCCAUGAAGUCGGAAUCGCUAGUAAUCGUAGAUCAGAAUGCUACGGUGAAUACGUUCCCGGGUCUUGUACACACCG
rnacentral:rRNA from 1 species